rnacentral:rRNA from 1 species
UACGGAGGGUGCAAGCGUUAUCCGGAUUUAUUGGGUUUAAAGGGUCCGUAGGCGGAUCUGUAAGUCAGUGGUGAAAUCUCACAGCUUAACUGUGAAACUGCCAUUGAUACUGCAGGUCUUGAGUAAAUUUGAAGUGGCUGGAAUAAGUAGUGUAGCGGUGAAAUGCAUAGAUAUUACUUAGAACACCAAUUGCGAAGGCAGGUCACUAAGAUUUAACUGACGCUGAUGGACGAAAGCGUGGGGAG